ACUAUUUAUGUAUUUGAACCAAGUUUUGAGUCAAAUAUGAUAUUUAUUACAACAUAUAGAGUAAAAAAAGCAAAUAGACAAUGUUCAACCUACAAUAAAAAUCACUAACAGAAGGAGAUGGCAACGGCGUGAGAUGAUGGCGAUGGCGGUUGUGCAAGAUGCGACGGCGACAAUUUCAGAUCGAGAGGCGACCAGUGUUAGAUCGUGAGCUAACGAUAUCAGAUAAAGAGAUAACAAAAGAAGAAAUCUUUAAAGAUAGAAGAAAAUGAAGAGAGAAGAACAGAUAGAAGGAUUCUGUUUUGAAUAGAAAAAGAAUAGAAAAAGAAAGAUAACUACGAAAAAGUUUUCAUUUUGAUUAAACCUAAAUUUAAUUCUGAUAGAAAAAUAACUAUUACAAAAUUAAA
rnacentral:lncRNA from 1 species